rnacentral:piRNA from 1 species
UGUCAUUUUAAGACUUCUCAAACAGGCAC